rnacentral:tRNA from 1 species
GCGGACGUGGCGGAAUUGGUAUACGCGCUAGCUUGAGGGGCUAGUGCUCGCAAGGGCUUGAGGGUUCGAGUCCCUCCGUCCGCACCA